rnacentral:rRNA from 1 species
CGGCGGACGGGUGAGUAACACGUGGAUAACCUACCUAUAAGACUGGGAUAACUUCGGGAAACCGGAGCUAAUACCGGAUAAUAUAUUGAACCGCAUGGUUCAAUAGUGAAAGGCGGUUUUGCUGUCACUUAUAGAUGGAUCCGCGCCGCAUUAGCUAGUUGGUAAGGUAACGGCUUACCAAGGCAACGAUGCGUAGCCGACCUGAGAGGGUGAUCGGCCACACUGGAACUGAGACACGGUCCAGACUCCUACGGGAGGCAGCAGUC